rnacentral:rRNA from 1 species
UACGGAGGGUGCGAGCGUUAUCCGGAUUCACUGGGUUUAAAGGGUGCGUAGGUGGGCAGGUAAGUCAGUGGUGAAAUCUCCGGGCUUAACCCGGAAACUGCCAUUGAUACUAUCAGUCUUGAAUACCGUGGAGGUAAGCGGAAUAUGUCAUGUAGCGGUGAAAUGCUUAGAUAUGACAUAGAACACCAAUUGCGAAGGCAGCUGGCUACACAAAUAUUGACACUGAGGCACGAAAGCGUGGGGAUCAAACAGG